UUUCUCUCUUCUCUGGGAUGGGCUCAUCAAUCACUUUGAAGUGUUUUGCAACCAAAGGGCAAAUGUAUUUCUCAGGGGAUCAGUCUCCACCCAUGUCCCCCAGGUCAAGGCCAGGUCAGAAAAGGGCUUGGAGAGCAGCCAGCCCUUGUCUUCCAAAACCAGCCAUCUGGGAAGGGAAUGUUUUCUCUUUUGGGCCCUUGAGUGUCAGACCCUGCAAAAUGCCUGUAAGCAUUUCUCCAGGACCACACAUCUGCCAGACUCCUGUCUCUCCAGGAAGGGAUGUUUCAUUGCUGCGUACUCCUAGCCUUUUCAGAGGAGAAUGAAUGACUUUCAAAAAACAUCAGCAGGUGGAAAAGAUAAUCACAUCUGGCAGAGUGUGAAGUGGGGCUCUGGUCUGUGACUGUCCUUCUGUCCCCUGCAAGUCACUCACUCAAGCCUGCACAGUCCUUAAGCCAAAAAGAAAUAAUGAAGUCUUGGCAAUGUGCAUGGGUGCAGCUAACUGUGUUCCUGAACUGCAUGGAGCAUCCCCAGUGCUACUGGAGCCUCAGGCCAUCCUGAAGGGCUGAAUGUUCCCACUCACCCCCUCAGCUGGCUCUGUCUGUCAGAGCUCAGUCUUCUCCCUGGGGACAGGACUCUCUCUGAGCUUCCAUGCCAUGUGCCUUGCUUGUGAUCCUCUGCCUGGAGUCUAGGAUGAUGAUCUUGCUCCACAAAAAUAGCAUUAGUGAGAGUGGCCAGCUGAAGAGGAACAAGGUGUACCAAGCUGCU